rnacentral:rRNA from 1 species
UACGUAGAAGACUAGUGUUAUUCAUCUUUAAUAGGUUUAAAGGGUACCUAGACGGUAUAAUUAGUCUUAAACAGGAUACGAUUAUACUAGAGUUAUAUAUGAGGAGGUGAGUAUUUAUGCAGUAGAGUUGAAAUUCGUUGAUAGCAUAACGACUGGUAACGGCGAAAGCAACCUUUUAUCUAAUAACUGACGUUGAGGGACGAAAGGCUC